rnacentral:rRNA from 1 species
GACGAAGGGGGCUAGCGUUGUUCGGAAUUACUGGGCGUAAAGCGCGUGUAGGCGGUUGUCCAAGUUGGAUGUGAAAGCCUUGAGCUUAACUCAAGAAAUGCAUUCAGGACUGGAUGGCUAGAGGACCGGAGAGGAUAGUGGAAUUCCCAGUGUAGUGGUGAAAUACGUAGAGAUUGGGAAGAACACCAGUGGCGAAGGCGGCUCACUGGACCGGUAUUGACGCUGAGGUGCGAAAGCGUGGGGAGCAAACAGG